rnacentral:rRNA from 1 species
UGGGGAAUUUUGGACAAUGGGCGCAAGCCUGAUCCAGCCGUGCCGCGUGAGUGAUGAAGGCCCUAGGGUUGUAAAGCUCUUUCACCGGUGAAGAUAAUGACGGUAACCGGAGAAGAAGCCCCGGCUAACUUCGUGCCAGCAGCCGCGGUAAUACGAAGGGGGCUAGCGUUGUUCGGAUUUACUGGGCGUAAAGCGCACGUAGGCGGACUAUUAAGUCAGGGGUGAAAUCCCGGGGCUCAACCCCGUAACUGCCUUUGAUACUGGUAGUCUUGAGUUCGAGAGAGGUGAGUGGAAUUCCGAGUGUAGAGGUGAGAUUCGUAGAUAUUCGGGGGAACACCAGUGGCGAAGGCGGCUCACUGGCUCGAUACUGACGCUGAGGUGCGAAAGCGUGGGGAGCAAACAGG